CCUCCCCCUUCGGCCGGCCCGCAUCCGAGUGACGCGCUCACGUCCCGCCCUGCCUCCUCCCCGAGCAACGGUGUGGGACCGCGGGGAGUGGGGAUGUCACAGCAGCCGGGUGCGGGCGUUGGUGACGACACCGAUCGCACGUCACCUGUCGGGCACGUGGCAGCGGCAGGCUUCAUUGCGGCUGCGGAGUCGGCGGGGGAGGCUGGGAGCUCGUUCCCGGAGUCGCGGGUCACAGGCUCUGGGCAGCUUGGCGAGGGCACGCUCUCGCCCCUCGCCCGCUUGUGGGCUUUUUUUGACAACGGACGAGGCGCAGAGCAGGUUUUCCAUCGCUCGGCAACAGGCAGCGGCGCGGGCUGCUCCAGCGCUGCCGCCCCACGACAAAUGGCGGCGGCUCCCACCAGGCAUCUCACUCUCUCACCCCCCUCCCCAAUCUAGGACAUCCUUGCCAAAACAAGUACAACAGAUUAGGGCACAUACACAUUUUUCCAACCCAAGCACCCCAAACUGGGACACACACAAGCCAAUAUAAGUACACCAAGCUGCCACACAGGGGGCCAAUGCAAGCACACCAAGCUAGGACCACCCCCCCCAACAAACAAGCUGUUGCAUGCAUAAAUACAAGCGCACUGAGCUAGCGCACUUGCAGAACCAAGUUUGCCCCUUGGACCUUGUUCUAGCUGUCUUCAGCUAGUCACAGUAGUUGUAGCUGUACACCAGCACCCCACGGUGCUAGCCACUGGUCAGAUACAGGAAAGGCGAGUCCCUUGUGUGUGUGUAUCCCCAAGCUUACAAUUUUGUGCCUGUCAAGUACUUGCUUGCAUGGGCUCAUAGUCCACCCACCCCACUUUACCUCAUUAAGUGCACAAAGUAGGUAGCACUAAUAAAGGAGCAGCUAUCACAUAUCAUUUUCUCUUCAGUUUCCAGCUCCAUGGCUUGUAUCUGACUACAUUCUACUCCAACCUUGCUCUGUAGGCCAAGUUAAUAAUAUCCUCAUGAACUACAACUCAAACAAUGAAAUAAAAUAGAAUGAGGUAUGUGCUGGCCUCCCCCCAAAAGACUUAGGUCAGCUUACAAGAUAAAGUAAUAACCCCCAAAUAAUACCCCAACAUCCAAAUGCUCCAGGAAGUUUUACAUCUAAGAACUACUUCUGAGAUGCUAAUUUCUCAUUCCUUGACUGGUACCUACUGAUUUUUUUUAAAGUGUAGCUUUGUGUCUAAUACAGAAAUGUGAUUCAAUAGAUCUGCUCCUUGUGCCUGCUGUUAAAGAGUUAGAAACUUAAAAAGAUGGACCAGAGAGACAUCAGAUCUGAUCCAGUAUGGGCAUGGCAUUUCCUGUGCCUAACAAUGAGUCGCAGAGGACUAGAGGGAACACCACUACAUUGGCUUCAAGCUGCCUCAUUCCUUGUGGGGAGCAACACAACCACUAGUCUAGAGGAUCUGGCCCUCCAUGAUUGCCAAACAGCUCCAGGUAUCCCUAGAAGUUGCAGAUCCCAGUACAACAUUAGAUGCUCUUUAUGCGCAUAUCUGUUCAAAAGAAUGAGGCAUCUUGGUUCCCUUCCCCUAUUUUUUUUUUGGCCACAAGAGGGUGCCAUUUAAAUUCAUUUCAUGUAAGAAAUUGUCAAGUUAGAAAAAGUUUAACAGGGAAGAUUGGCAUCUUCUUAGAUCAUUCAAUACAUUUCCCUAGUAGGGAUACAGAAAUUCCUAUUGUCUUUAAUCCAAAUAAGCCAUUUAAUAAUUUUAAAAUGUUAAUAAUAAGAGUUUGAUAUUAAAAUCUAUUCAGAUUAAAAACCUUUUUAGUUUAAUGGAAUUUUCUGGUCAACUGCCAUUGUACUGUUAGAACCAGGAUUUUGUCUUUACACAUUUUCACACAAACAUGAAAUAAAAUACAUUUAACAGAAUCUCUUUUUAGCACAGAUCUGCCUUGAAGGAUCCACAGGCCACCAGGACUUGUACUACUAAAGUUUUUGCCUGAAAAGAUCUUAAAUCUUUACAGAGCCAUUUCACAUUUUCAGAGUUAGAAGAGAUCUCUCGUUGCAACUACUCUAAGGGUCAAAUACCAAGGUCAUUUUGGAACUCUGCCCAGCUGCCUCUGCAGUUCUACAAGGUAGGCUGUAGAAAUCUGGCUGAAUGAAAGAAAAAAAACGCAGUGGGAGGAGAAAUCAUGUAAUCAUGACAUUCUGGAAGAAAAAAAGAACUAAGAAUGCUGCGGGACAUCUGCCCUUUCAAAAGCCUCAGGAGUCUCUCAAGCUGACACAUUUCAGAUUGGCUUAAUAUUUAAAAGAGAUGCAUUCAAAGACAUAAGGGAAGUUUGAGAAAAGAGUGGCCUUUGUUGUACAUGCGGAGAUAAAAAAAUCCCCACAUUUAUGUACACUGAUUACUAUACAUUUAGCAAGACCUGUAAUUACUACUCUACACCAAGUGUAUCAUUUGAGAGCAAUUUACUUACCGUCCAGAUGUGCUCAUAUAUUUAUUACAGGACCUUAAAUUCUUAUCCAGAGGGAUCUACUCUGUCAUUUAGAUCCAGAUGCUAGAGCAAAACCAUUGACAUUGGAACAUGUCUAGAGUCCCAUUAUUUAUUUAUUUAUUUUUAAGAUUAAGAUUACUAUUUUAAACUUGAUAAAAGGACACAUUUAGUUACAAAUUCACUCCCAAACCAAAGUUUUCCCUGUGAUCUGUUCUAAACACAGAAAUAUACAAAUUUUGAUUACAGCACACAAGAGUCUCCAAAGAGUCUACUUCCAUAUUUGCUUUGCUCUUUAUUUAGAUGACCUUUUACUCUUUUAGGUUUUGGGCAAAGGCCUAACUACCAGGGUCUGCGCUCUGGGUGGCAACGGCAGCUGGGGGUGGCCAGGUUUAGCAGUCAUUCUCCCCCUCCCCCUCUGGUCACCCACCCUUUGCUACACUACUACUUUGUGGGGAGGUUGCUGGGAGAGAAAGAGUUACAAAUACCUGCAAUUCUUAUCACAACACCCUGCAUAGGUCUAAUGUAAGCAGAAUGUUUGCUUGAAUACAAAGUAGGUAAAGACUGCACGAAUAGAUCUUACAUGAAAGAUUUGUAUGUGUAAGGUUCUAUCUCUGGGAAAGCAUGCUUUUUCUUCUUAUGCACCCAUCUGUUUCAGAUGGAAGCUGGGCUAUACCUGCAUGAGAUAAAAAAUAAAAAUCUUUCAGAGUUGCA